GCCUCCCACACACACACACACACACAUUCUGGAAAUGGGCACCAGUUCCGGGGAGCGUUUAGAUUGACUGUUUUAAGCAGUGAUUAUACCCACACUGGCAUUUUACACUCAAUACACUUGGUUAAAAACACGACUCUACACUUCCUCCGAGAACUGACGACAAAUAACAUUAAUACUGGGCAAGUCCAGGUAUACCUUUGCCAAUGAACAGUUUGCCAAUGAACAUCUGAGUGAUUCAGAGGACAACUGGGUGAAAGUGUUGUGGUCAGAUGAGACCAAAAUGGAGCUCUCUGGCAUCAACUCGCCGUGUUUGGAGGAGGAGGAAUGUUGCCUAUGACCCCAAGAACACCAUCCCCACCGUCAAACGUGGAGAUGGAAACAUCAUGCUUUGGGGGUGUUUUUCUGCUAAGGGGACAGGACAACUUCACCGCAUCAAAGGGACGAUGGACGGGGCCAUGUACCGUCAAAUCUUGGGUGAGAACCUCCUUCCCUCAGCCAGGGCAUUGAAAAUGGGUUGUGGAUGGGUAUUCCAGCAUGACAAUGACCCAAAACACACGGCCAAGGCAACAAAGGAGUGGCUCAAGAAGAAGCACAUUAAGGUCCUGGAGUGGCCUAGCCAGUCUCCAGACCUUAAUCCCAUAGAAAAUCUGUGGAGGGAGCUGAAGGUUCGAGUUGCCAAACGUCAGCCUCGAAACCUUAAUGACUUGGAGAAGAUCUGCAAAGAGGAGUGGGACAAAAUCCCUCCUGAGAUGUGUGCAAACCUGGUGG